CCGGCCGGCCCCUCCCCGCCCGCCUGACUGCUGCCAACCAUGUCCGCACUCCGUCCGGCGUCUCGCACCGGCGGUCAGCAGACUCUGACCCCAUCGCCGCCGACCUCCUCUCCGCCUCCUCUCUCUCACCACGCUCUCCCUUGCCGCCUCGCUCCACUCCCUCCUCGCCGCGCGCGCCCUCCCACGCUCUUAUCCCCCGCCUCCCGACCCCCUCCGUGCGCCUCCUCUCCAGGCUUCUUUCGCGCCCCUGCUCUUCCCCCGCCCAGGCAGCCGGAUUCCUCCGCGCCGGUCACCUCUCCGUUCAACCCCCUCUUGGCCGCGCUCGCCCGCGUCCUCGACCUCCCUGGCACAACCCAGCUCUUUGCCGCCGUCGUCUGGUAUGGCAUACUCCCCAACGGGCUCUGCAAAGCCGGCGCGCUCAGGGCGCUCGAUGGAAUGCCCGGCCCAGACUCGCGCCUUCGUCCGGAUGUUGUCAUUCAUGCUGAACACGGUCGUGGAUGUGUGCAAGAGCGGGAGGAUUGGUGAUGCUCUUGACUUUUUCAAGGAGAAAAGAUCAGCUUGCCCUGAAGCCAGCGGCAAUGCCGUCACCUACAGCACUCUGCUUCCUCCACAAUAACAAUGUGUGGGCGUAUCCACCAUGGAUUAGGUUUGUUCCAUGAGAUGGUGGAUGAAGGGCUCUCACCAGAUGAAGUCAUGUAUUUUACCACGAUAUUGGGAUUGACACAAGCACGACGAUUGAAGGAGGCUUGGUGUCGUCGAUGGUGAAGGCAGGGUUUCAGCUGGAUGCAAAGGCGUACACUAUUCUGAUUGGCGGAUUUAGCAGGAGGAAGAGGUUACAGAGGCUUAUCAGUGGCUUGGUGUACACCUACAAUACCUUGUUGUCUGCUUUGUGCAAAGUAGGACAUUUCUCGGCUGUGGAUGAGUUAUUGGGGAAGAUGAUAGUUGUCGGCCGUCUGAGGACUGUACGAGGAUUGGUUAAGAUGACUCUUAUUUAAAUGCAGCGUCAACUGCACAUGAUGAAGAGCAAAUGCAGGUAGCAACAGUCGAUGGAUAUAAUUUUCUGUGGCAUCAAAAGUGAAUUAAUUCAGCGGCUGCCAGGUAGUAAACCAUUCAUACUGCAGCAAAGGUCCAAGUGUUGCCGGUGUUGCCCUUUUUUGUCAAUUGAUUACAGCCAUAUGCGCUGACUUGCUCCUGCAAGUUGUUUCUGCUAAUGCUGGAAGUGAGGUACCAUUUUUUUCUUGCAAGAGUAACUUUUCAUUCUCUCAGUCGAUGUAUUCAACAACUAAGUUAAUGCAGCGACGGAUGAUUCAGUGUCUUAGCAUUAACUCACUUCGUUGCUGCAUUAACUUUGACAAAUAAGAAGGCUAACAUUAGCAUUACAAUUCUGUCGAGAACACAUCAUUACAGACUUGCCUAUUCUGAACAGCCCAGCAGUGGCCACCGAGCCACUCAUAGUAACAUGGAUCGUAGAUGACCACUAGUCUUAGCAGCGCAGCGAAAAAAUAAGGCUUGUUUCAGAGACAUACAAGGAAACAAGAAUAGGUUAGUGUGUCAGUGUGCGGUUCUACAUCAGCCAGCAGCCAUUUUCACGAGCCAGUGGCUUCAAGGAGCACUCUUGUCGUCGUCCUUGUCACUAGUUUGUGGUUCGGUGGAUGGCGGGGAGUAGCUUGUGUUGGGGCUGCACGAUGAAAGUUGCAAUUGUCAGAUGAGCAAAUGGUGCACUUUCACCAGUCACGGGCAGAUGAGAGAUUAACUUGAUGCACAUUACCUGUAG